rnacentral:rRNA from 1 species
UACGGAAGGCAGCAGUGGGGAAUAUUGCACAAUGGGCGCAAGCCUGAUGCAGCCAUGCCGCGUGUAUGAAGAAGGCCUUCGGGUUGUAAAGUACUUUCAGUCGUGAGGAAGGUGUUAAGGUUAAUAACCUUAGCAAUUGACGUUAGCGACAGAAGAAGCACCGGCUAACUCCGUGCCAGCAGCCGCGGUAAUACGGAGGGUGCGAGCGUUAAUCGGAAUUACUGGGCGUAAAGGGCACGCAGGCGGUUAAUUAAGUUGGAUGUGAAAUCCCCGGGCUUAACCUGGGAAUGGCAUUCAAGACUGGUUAGCUAGAGUCUUGUAGAGGGGGUAGAAUUCCAUGUGUAGCGGUGAAAUGCGUAGAGAUGUGGAGGAAUACCGGUGGCGAAGCGGCCCCUGGACAAAGGACUGACGCUCAUGUGCGAAAGCGUGGGGAGCAAAC